CACUAGACAUACACACACUUCUGGUAAAUGCUGCUUUAUUGGUUGAACUCCCCCCCCCCCUCCAAGAAAGCAAAAAAAUCAGGCAACUAUCUAGGCAACCUCCUCCCCGAAAAAUACAGAUCUGUAAUAAAGCCAUGUAGCUACAGAGGAGCCUACAGCUCCUCUAAUGCAGCAUCAGCUUUGGUAACAAACUUGUCAAAUAAGUUAGUUAAGAGUAGUUUGAAUUCUAAAAGGCAUAUGGCAGCUUGGACAAUUCAUAAGCUACCACCCCAUCCAAUUCUGGCUGCUUAUUCAGCAAUUCGCAAAGCCCAGCUGUAGCUACUUUGAUAAUCUUUGUCACAUUGUGAAUCAUUACUUGAGUGAUGUAUCUCAUUGGAGGAUGGGAUCUUCCUUUUGAAGCCUCUUCCACUCUGC